UGGAAAAACCGACAGAAACUUUCCAGAGAGC
rnacentral:piRNA from 1 species